UCCUAACCAAGGACCUUAAGUCAGUCCAUCCAAACAGGGACCCAGCUUGCCGAAUGUGGUCCUCAAUUCCACUCCUUUUGCUCCCUCCCCCUCACUCUGUUCUUUCCCGACAGUGAGGAGCGUGGCUCCUCAUUACUGCAAAACACUGCUGCCUUCUCCUGACAACCUGACUUCAGUUCAGAAUGGCAGAAGCUAAUGACGGAUGCUGCGCAGUGUCAUGAGUGUGAAACUUGAAGGAUGGUGGGCUAGCGAGACUGCACACCUCCCUGGUACAGGUAAUGCACACAGCACCUUAUGACGUUAUUAAAGCCGAAGCUUUCCAGUCUAGGAAUCCAGCUGAUGGGAUGAUGUCACUAACAUUCAGGAUGGCUUUUGUCUCCUGGAAGAAGCCAUUCUUGAAACAUCUUCAGAGACGGGCCUUGAGGUGUCUCUAAAUCAAAAUGAAAAUGAAGAUUAACCACCGAAGUCCUAUGUCACCUCACAAAUUGACGUCUCCAGUGAACUUCAAGGCACAGUUACCCAACUGCUCAGCAUUUCACUGAGAAAAGCCCAAAUAGUAUCUCAAGUUUAACAUGAUAAAAAAUAAAUAAAAUAAAAUUAUUGCUACCUAC
rnacentral:sRNA from 1 species